rnacentral:misc_RNA from 1 species
UACGGAGGAUCCAAGCGUUAUCCGGAAUCAUUGGGCUUAAAGAGUCCGUAGGCGGGUUAAUAAGUCAGUGGUGAAAGUCUGCAGCUCAACCGUAGAACUGCAAUUGAUACUGCUAACCUUGAGUAAUUAUGAAGUGGUUAGAAUAUGUAGUGUAGCGGUGAAAUGCAUAGAUAUUACGAAGAAUACCGAUUGCGAAGGCAGAUCACUAAUAAUUCACUGACGCUGAUGGACGAAAGCGUAGGUAGCGAACAGG